ACUCAACAAAUAGAAGAAUUUAAAAUAUAUCCCAGUGGCCUCAUGUUUCUAACGCUGAGACUCAAAAGACAGGCCACUAUUGCUAGGUCACUUUAGAUCGGUUCUGCUGAUCAUACUUAUGGAAAGUGACUUCCUUACAGAAGAUAUGAAGCAGUGAGUAUUUCAAAGAAUAAGGAUGAUGAUAUUGCUGUGAAUGGAGAAUGCAUCACAGAGAAACCAGUCAUUCAAGUGAAGAGAGAAGAAGUGUUCCAUCUGAAGUAUGAUUCCAAGUAAACCAUGAGUCUGACAUGAACCUAUACUGAUUUGGUGACUGUAUAGAUAGAAAUUCAGUGGAUGAGCUACAUUAGAGAAGUAUUGUGGAAUAGAGAUAUGUUUUGGAGGAAACGCUCAUAGGUCUUUCUAGACGCGGAUAAGAACAAACGGGGUCAUGAGGGAGAGGGAACAGUCAAAGACAACUUUGACACUGAAUGAAAUAUGAGUCACUUACUCAGAUUAUAAACAUUUGGAAAUACAUUAAAAAUCUAACACGGAGCUUUAGGCAAAAUCAAAUAUCAUUAGCAUGCCUAACAUGGUUCAUUUAUAUUAAUAAACUUUAGCUCCUUUAUAAGAAUAAUGAUAAGUUUUAGAAAAAUACCACACAAACCCUUCUCACACUUUGUAGCCAUGUGCCCACAUAUAAUACAAGUAGAUCAAAUAGGUUUUGUUAUCGAUGCGAAUGCUCAAAGUGAUUUCCCUUGCUGUAGACGAAGUGAGUUGAACAUGUUAAAUACCCCGAAGAAAACGCACUGACUCCUCUGAAUUUCUUUGUGGCCAAAUCACCUCAGCAACAAGUAGCAAGAAACACAGAAGCUUUAGGACUAGACGGCUCCCAUGAUCACCUGCGGCUCCCCCAGGGGCUGGGGCAAGGAUAAGGAGGUGCUGGAUGUUUUUGGCAGACGUCCAAACCUGACUCAGCUCUCUCCCCAGGAGCAGCAUCAGGUACACGGAAAGCCCAGCCGUACAUCCCAGAAACGGCGCACCUUCUGCAUAUCCGGCCUCCGUGACAGCGUGCUGCUGUCUGCCAGCGACACCAUCGUUUACUUCUAAAAGUAAACGUUCCUUUAAAAACUAAACCCCUGAACCUUGAGGGAUGGGUUUGAUGAUGACAUACCACUUAGGAAUGAGUGCUCCAAUGUCUAUCAAACUCUGGAUAUUUUCCAGUAUUCUCCGCACAGGACUGGGAUCGACUCCAGGAAGAAACAGUCCUUCAACAUAUCAGCUUUCUUUCAAGCAGAAUGUACUUAAAAUUUUGGAUAGAAUGCCACACAUUGUAACUUGAAGGCCCAUUUUUGGUGACAUUGAAAUAAACUUAUUUGCCACCAGAUUCUUCUAAGAAUGUAUCAUUUGAUGAAUAAGAAACUAUAUCAUAUAAAAUACAUAGUGGGUAGAAUGUUUUCAUAAAAAUAUUCAGAAAAAUAUGGCUGUUGAGAUGGCUCAGAAGAUAAAGCUGGUUUCUGCCGAGCCUGAGGACCUGGCUUAUAUCUACCCCCCCUCAACUCAUUUAGCAAAGAAAAGAACUGGGUCCCAAACUUUGUCCUCUAAUCUUCCCUUCCAUGCUGUGGAGCAUUUGUGUAUGCACUCAGGCACACACUUUUGCA